UACGUAGGGUGCGAGCGUUGUCCGGAAUUACUGGGCGUAAAGCGCACGUAGGCGGAUUUGCCAGUCAGGGGUGAAAUCCCGGGGCUCAACCUCGGAACUGCCUCUGAUACAGCAAGUCUUGAGUCCGGAAGAGGUGGGUGGAAUUCCUAGUGUAGAGGUGAAAUUCGUAGAUAUUAGGAAGAACACCAGUGGCGAAGGCGGCCCACUGGUCCGGUACUGACGCUGAGGUGCGAAAGCGUGGGGAGCAAACAGG
rnacentral:rRNA from 1 species